rnacentral:rRNA from 1 species
GAUGAACGCUGGCGGCGUGCCUAAUACAUGCAAGUCGAGCGAACGGACGAGAAGCUUGCUUCUCUGAUGUUAGCGGCGGACGGGUGAGUAACACGUGGAUAACCUACCUAUAAGACUGGGAUAACUUCGGGAAACCGGAGCUAAUACCGGAUAAUAUUUUGAACCGCAUGGUUCAAAAGUGAAAGACGGUCUUGCUGUCACUUAUAGAUGGAUCCGCGCUGCAUUAGCUAGUUGGUAAGGUAACGGCUUACCAAGGCAACGAUGCAUAGCCGACCUGAGAGGGGGGUAGGCCACACUGGAACUGAGACACGGUCCAGACUCCUACGGGACGGCGCAGUAGGGAAUCUUCCGCAAUGGGCGAAAGCCUGACGGAGCAACGCCGCGUGAGUGAUGAAGGUCUUCGGAUCGUAAAACUCUGUUAUUAGGGAAGAACAUAUGUGUAAGUAACUGUGCACAUCUUGACGGUACCUAAUCAGAAAGCCACGGCUAACUACGUG